GACACAUCUGGACUAAUCCAUCAGGAAGGAAAAAUAUCCUUGGAAUUAUAAUAUGACAGCAAUCUUUAGACGUCAACGGCUCUGAAUUUGUGCUUCAUACCUUCAGUGACAUCGAAAUGAAGAGAGAAAUAAAGAUGUCCAAGCCAAAGACGUGGAUUUGCUUAAAACAAAGGAAACUCAAGAAACUCUACAAGCAAAGAGACAUCAGAAAGACAAUAAAAUCAAACUUAAUGAGGAGGCCUCUGACUUUGACCCCCCCACCCCUGCAAGUGGAAUAAAUUGCUGAAAGCUGGC